UACGGGGGGGGCAAGCUUUGUUCGGAAUUACUGGGCGUAAAGGGCGCGUAGGCGGUUCGCUAAGUUGAAUGUGAAAACUCUGGGCUUAACCCAGAGCCUGCAUUCAAUACUGGCGGGCUAGAGUUCUGGAGGGGAUAGCGGAAUUCCUGGUGUAGCGGUGAAAUGCGUAGAUAUCAGGAGGAACACCGGUGGCGAAGGCGGCUAUCUGGACAGAGUCUGACGCUGAGGCGCGAAAGCUAGGGGAGCAAACAGG
rnacentral:rRNA from 1 species